rnacentral:rRNA from 1 species
UAGGAAGGGGGCUAGCGUUGUUCGGAUUUACUGGGCGUAAAGCGCAUGUAGGCGGACCAGUAAGUUGGGGGUGAAAUCCCGAGGCUCAACCUCGGAAUUGCCUCCAAAACUGGCGGUCUGGAGGACAGGAGAGGCGAGUGGAAUUCCGAGUGUAGAGGUGAAAUUCGUAGAUAUUCGGGGGAACACCAGUGGCGAAGGCGACUCGCUGGAUUGAUACUGACGCUGAGGUGCGACAGCGUGGGGAGCAAACAGG